GAGUGAAAUCAGAUUUACGAAAUGAGUUAUUUCAAUUAACUGAAAUAGGUCUUUUGAAUUCAAUGAAACCAAUUUUAUGAAAUAGAUUGUUCCAAUGUGUGAAAUUGAUUAUGUUCGUGAAGCUGCUUACUCCUGAUUGUGAAACUGAUAUUUAGGGAAUAUAAUUGCAAGUGAAAUAUCAAACUAUAAAAUUUAAAUAUGCAUGCAUUAUUUUAAAGCGGUGAAAUCUGUAAUAUAAAAUGAGUGAAUCAGUUUUCGAAAUGAAUGGAAUCAUGUUUCUGAAACGGAUGAAAUAUGUUUUUUUAAUGUGUGAAAUCUGUCUUUUCAAAUGAGUGAAUUCAUAUUUUUUAAAUAAGUGAAUUUUUAUUUUGAAUCAACUAAAAAAGAUGAGUGAAAUAUGCUUUUCAAUAUGAGUGAAAUAUGUUUUUCAAUUUGAGUGAAAUAUGUUUUUAAAAAUCAGCUAAAUUAAAGCUAAUUCGAAUGUAUCCAUAAUUGAUCUUGUUCUGAAGCUCUUCUUGCUAGGAAUUCAAAUAUAUAUAAAAAUUCAAAAUAGGAGUUCUCAUUAAAAAGAUAUCCAUGAUCCAAAAUUUCACAAUGAAAUUAAAUGGAAGUAUUUUGAUGGAGAGAGAGGGAAUAUUUAACUUGCAUGCAACUGGUCUUGUCGUACAUUUUUUCUCUCUCCUGACAAAAGCUGACAAGUGCAUGCAAAUGUUCACAUGUAUUCCUGUGUAUUC
rnacentral:rRNA from 1 species